rnacentral:tRNA from 1 species
GGAGAGAUGGCCGAGUGGUUUAUGGCUCCGGUCUUGAAAACCGGUAUAAUUACCCUGAUUAUCGAGGGUUCGAAUCCCUCUCUCUCCU